rnacentral:rRNA from 1 species
UACGUAGGGUGCGAGCGUUAAUCGGAAUUACUGGGCGUAAAGCGUGCGCAGGCUGUUCUGUAAGUCAGAUGUGAAAUCCCCGAGCUCAACUUGGGAACUGCGUUUGAAACUACAGGACUAGAAUAUGUCGAGAGGGGGUAGAAUUCCACGUGUAGCAGUGAAAUGCGUAGAGAUGUGGAGGAAUACCAAUGGCGAAGGCCAGCCCCCUGGGAUAAUAUUGACGCUCAUGGCACAGAAAGCGUGGGGAGCAAACAGG